GAAAUGCGAUACGUAGUGUGAAUUGCAGAAUUCCGUGAAUCAUCGAAUCUUUGAACGCAUAUUGCGCUGGCGGCUUCGGCCAACAGCAUGUCUGCCUCAGCGUCGGGUUAAUAUCGCCCCCCUCCCACCACCGGUGUGUGCAGGCGAGCGGACCUGGCCGUUCCACAGCCCUCAAAAGCUGUGGAUCAGCUGAAGAGGAGAGGCUAGCUCAAGGACCCGUCAAGGGCCGCAACUGGGUAGGCAGCUUCGGCUCGCUUCUAGUUGUUGGCUUGGGACCGUGUGCUCGGCCCUACAUCAGGAACAUAACCCCUAUUUUCUCGACCUGAGCUCAGGCAAGAACACCCGCUGAACUUAAGC
rnacentral:misc_RNA from 1 species